rnacentral:rRNA from 1 species
UACGGAGGGUGCAAGCGUUGUCCGGAUUUAUUGGGUUUAAAGCGUGCGCAGGCGGCUUCCCAAGUCAGUGGUGAAAGCCCGGAGCUCAACUCCGGAAAUGCCAUUGAAACUGUGAAGCUCGAGAACGAGAGAGGUGAGUGGAAUUCCCAGUGUAGAGGUGAAAUGCGUAGAGAUCGGGAGGAACAUCAGUGGCGAAGGCGGCCAUCUGGGACAACACUGACGCUGAGGCACGAAAGCGUGGGGAGCAAACAGG